rnacentral:rRNA from 1 species
GAUGAACGCUGGCGGCGUGCCUAAUACAUGCAAGUCGAGCGAACAGACGAGGAGCUUGCUCCUCUGACGUUAGCGGCGGACGGGUGAGUAACACGUGGAUAACCUACCUAUAAGACUGGGAUAACUUCGGGAAACCGGAGCUAAUACCGGAUAAUAUAUUGAACCGCAUGGUUCAAUAGUGAAAGACGGUUUUGCUGUCACUUAUAGAUGGAUCCGCGCCGCAUUAGCUAGUUGGUAAGGUAACGGCCUACCAAGGCAACGAUGCGUAACCGACCUGAGAGGGUUGUCGGCCACCCUGGAACUGAGACACGGUCCAGGCUCCUACGGUAGGCAGCAGUAGGGAAUCUUCCGCAAUGGGCGAAAGCCUGACGGAGCAACGCCGCGUGAGUGAUGAAGGUCUUCGGAUCGUAAAACUCUGUUAUUAGGGAAGAACAAAUGUGUAAGUAACUAUGCACGUCUUGACGGGACCUAAUCAGAAAGCCACGGCUAACUACGUG